ensembl:lncRNA
UUCCGUAUAAAUAGCAGGGUACAGACAGCAAGAGCAUUGUGAUUGCUGCCUGAAUGACAGGCAAGCCGCUGAAUUAAGAGUGCCCUCAAGACUGCUUUCUGUUUUGAAGAACUGCUGCAGAGCAGUGAUGGGAUCUCUCCUGCUUCUCAUUUCUCUGCAGAUGGUGUGCAGAAACUUCCCCCUGGAACGCACCAUCGAUUUCUUGAUGGCCAUCAAGGAGACCUUCCGAAAGGCCAAAGGAAUGCGUGUGCGUGCUGCUGGGAAGUGGAUGAUCACCUUUUUGCAGAUGUACAGAAAGGACAUCCAUCGAGACGUAAGAGACUUUCUUCCACGUGUCUUGGAUUUUUUCUUGCUGUUGCUCUACGCCUUAUGUCGUUUGCCUCUUGUGCUAAAGAAACACAGUCUGAGCGCAGAGCCAGGGCUUGGACAGGGUCGCUGGUGUGAAAUUUAGUCUUAGGCCUUGGCAGCAUGUCAAGGGAGCAGGCACUGCUCAUGUGCUGAAUGUCCGUGGUUACUUCCUACAGAGUCAAGGAUGUGGCAAAUCGUUUUUUCUCCCCUUCUUCUUUCAGAUGCCACUGAUCCUCUAUGUCCUGCGGAGCUGCACAUCAUCCACACAGCAGAGCAUGUUCAUGCCCUUUGUGUGCCAGGCGGUGGUCAUCCUCACCCGCUGCCACACGGAGGUUGCGAUUGACAACUUCUCCCGGCUGCUUGGGCCCACAGACAGCAAUACAUGGAGGAGAAUCAGAGAAUUUUGUCUUCAGCGGUGGAGGUGGUAGAAGAAAGCGAAGCAAAGCAAAGCAAAGUCAAGAAAAGAAGGGAAGGGGAGGAAAAGGAAAAGGAAAAUAAAAAGGAAAAGGAAAAGGAAAAGGAGGGGAGGGGAUCUGAAGGGAGGGAAUCUGAUGGGAGGGGAGUGGAGUGGAGUGGAGUGGAUGGGAGGGGAAGGGAGGGGAGAGGAAGGGGAGGGAGGAGAAGUAGAGAAGGGGAGGGGAGGGGAGAAGGGAAAGAAAAAGAAGGAAAGAGGGAAGGAGAAGAGAGGAGAGGAAGAGGAAGUGGGAGAGGGAGGGUGAGAGGGAGAGAAGAGAGGAGAGGAUGAAAAAGGGAAGAAAAGAAAGAAAAGAGAAGAAAAAAGAAAAGAACAGAUGAGCUAAAAAAAAAUUAUUUUAAAAAAUUAAAUGCUUGAAUUGUGGCUAAGAAUUGAAAAGGGUAUUUUUUUUACUAAGUCUCUAAGUUCUCCAUAGCAGUUACAGAAUCACAGAAUCACCAAAUGUCAGGAAUUGGAAGCCCCUGCCUUAGCAGGAAGGCCUAGAUUAAGUCACACAGGAAUGCGUCCAGGCAGGUUUUGAAUGUCUCCAUAGAAGGAGACCCCACAACCUCUCUGAGCAGCCUGUUCCCAUGUUCCGUAGCCUUACCAUGAAGACAUUUUUUGUCAUAUUUUUGUGGAACUUCCUAUGUUCGUUUUCACCCAAUGUUCCUUGUCCUAUCACUGGGUGUCACUGUGAGAAGAGCCUGGCUCCAUCCUACUGGCACACACCCUUUUCAUAUUUGUUAACAUUAUUAAUGAGAUCACCUCUUAGUCUCCUCUUCUCCAAGCUAAAGAGACCCAGCUCCCUCAGCCUUUUCUCUUAAGGGAGAUGCUCCAAUCCCUUCAUCAUCUUUGUGGCUAUGUGCUGGCCUCUCUCAAGCAAUUCCCUGUCCUUCUUGAAUGGAGGGGCCCAGAACGGGACACAGUACUCCAGAUGUGGUCUCACCAGGGCGGAGUAGAGGGGGAGGAGAAGCUCUUUUGACCUACUAACCACAUCCCUUCUAGUAUGUCCCCGGAUGCCAUUGGCCUUCUUGGCCACAAGGGCACAAUGCUGGCUUAUGGUCACCCUGCUGUCCAACAGGACCCCCAGGUCCCUUUCCUCUAUGCUGUUUUUCCCCAACCUAUACUGGUACCUGGGGCUGUUCUUGUCCAGAUACAAGUCUCUAUGCUUGCCCUUGUUAUAUUUCAUUAAAUUUCUCCCCGCCCAAUUCUGCAGUCUGUCUAGGUCUCGCUGGGUGGCAGCUCAGCCUUCUAGCAUAUCAGCCACUCCUCCCAGUUUUGUGUCAUCAGC